UACGUAGGGUGCAAGCGUUGUCCGGAAUUAUUGGGCGUAAAGAGCUCGUAGGCGGUUUGUCGCGUCUGCUGUGAAAACUCGGGGCUUAACUCCGGGCCUGCAGUGGGUACGGGCAGACUAGAGUGCGGUAGGGGAGACUGGAAUUCACGGUGUAGCAGUGAAAUGCGUAGAUAUCGUGAGGAAGACCAGUGGCGAAGGCGGGUCUCUGGGCAACAACUGACGCUGAGGAGCGAAAGCGUGGGGAGCGAACAGG
rnacentral:rRNA from 1 species